rnacentral:misc_RNA from 1 species
AACUUUCAACAACGGAUCUCUUGGCUCUCGCAUCGAUGAAGAACGUAGCGAAGUGCGAUAAGUAAUGUGAAUUGCAGAAUUCCGUGAAUCAUCGAAUCUUUGAACGCAAAUUGCACUUUCUGGUAUUCCGGAAAGUAUGCCUGUUUGAGGGUCAGUUAAAUAAAAAUCGGUGUUGUUGCUACCCGUAGUGGUGUUAAUGCAUCGGAAUUGAGUUGUCUUUACCUUUUUUGGUUAAAGUGACUUAAAAUUAUGUACGAUUUUUUGAACGUAUUUAAAUUAUUUACGUAUGUUCAUAAUAUCAAAUAUUAGGUGCGGUCAUCCUUAUGAUUCACAUCUAUAAUUUUUCAUUAUUUGACCUCAAAUCAGGUAAGAGUACCCGCUGAACUUAAGCAUAUCAAUAAGCGGAGGCU